ACGGGGACUAGAGAGGGCUCUUUACUAGCGCGGCGGUUCUGAUUGGCUGCGGACGGAGUGGCUUGAGCAGCGUUUGAUGUGCUGGCCUCGUAUUGGGGGUUAGGCUGAGAGCGGCGCCGACGUGCCCGCCCCCCGGAGAGCUCUUUUCGUGUCUCGAGUUCGCCGCCCACUGCCUGAGUUGAGGCAUGAGACUGUUGAACGGCCUGACCAGUCGCGUGACUGCUGUGAGGAGGCAGUGGCAGGUUUCCUGAACGGAGGCAAUAGAUUUCUCAGUCGGGGGUCACAGUGCAGGAGAAGCUUUUCUUCAUCCUCCUCCUCACCUUCACCACCACCCCCUUCCAGGGACAAACCCAG